AUUUUGGACAAUGGGGGAAACCCUGAUCCAGCCAUCCCGCGUGUAUGAUGAAGGCCUUCGGGUUGUAAAGUACUUUUGGCAUUGAAGAGAAGGUAUCUCCUAAUACGAGAUACUGCUGACGGUAUCUGCAGAAUAAGCACCGGCUAACUACUUGCCAGCAGCCGCGGUAAUACGAAGGGUCCAAGCGUUAAUCGGAAUUACUGGGCUUAAAGCGUGUGUAGGCGAUUCGGAAAGAAAAGUGUGAAAUCCCAGGGCUCAACCUUGGAAUUGCAUUUUUAACUGACGAGCUGGAGUAUGUCAGAGGGGGGUAGAAUUCCACGUGUAGCAGUGAAAUGCGUAGAUAUGUGGAGAAAUACAGAUGGCAGAGGCAGCCCCCUGAGAUAAUACUGACGCUCAGACACGAAAGCGUGGGGAGCAAACA
rnacentral:rRNA from 1 species